rnacentral:snRNA from 1 species
ACCUCCUCCCAAGGGACAAAAAGGGAAAAGAACGAUACAGAGAAGAUUAGCAUAACCCCUGCGCAAGGAUGACACGCUAAAUCGUGAGGCGUCCUAUAUUUUU